GUAGCGGAAUUGGAAAUAUACAAGUUCACCACUGAUCAUGACUUAAGACAAGAAUCUCCCAACCGAAGAGAAACACAGUUGAGAUUCCACUUCGUAAUGUAUGAGGGCGAAAAGUGAUAGAAAAUGAAAAACACCUAAAGUGUAAUGACUUUAUUUUUGCACUUUCAUCAGAAAAGCAGUAAAAGUUCCUCCAAAAAAAAGUCAAGUCAAGAUCGGCUCGGAGUCAGAUUUUAAGUGCUGCCUUUAGCGCAAAACCAAGACCAUCAUUUUCUCAUGACAAGAAUUUGGAAGUGCGUCGUAAAAAAGUGUAAAGACCGAAAAAGAAAAACCCCUCUCCGAAGCAAAGUGACACCUCCACCAUCUCUUUGCCCUUUAACACGAUUAACUAAAUCUGAUUGGUAAAUUAUUUUUGCAAUUAUGCAGCCAUAUUUACGUCCAGCCACAGCCUUGCUCAAGGUAAAUGUAGCUGACAAGACACUCCAAAUAAAAUUCGAUUUCCAUUUAUUAUUUACAUUUGGACUUUAAUCAAUUAUGAAUGACAACUAAUUAGUGGCGUGCAGAGGCCAUCGCUCUUCGCGGCGUCAAAGUCGACUAAAUGUACUGUAUGUCACGGAGUGCGGACAUUGACAAAAAACCUCUCACCACUUUACAGAUUUGGGUGUCUUUUUGCUGAGGAGACUUCACUAAUCAUCUGUGAAAGUGCGUGCAGUGUGUGUGCGUGCGUGCGCGUGCCUGUUGGGUGCGUGAGCGCGGAGCGUGCACGUGUUUGAUAAUAAUAAGGCAAGUGAAAAUGAAGAGGAGCUAAACUGUGUAAGUCAUUUCUCAUUUCCUUGCUUCAGUGCCUGUCAGAAGAAAGCCCUGCAUUUUGAAUGAUGGCUCAGACAACAUAAAGUGAACAACAAACCCUGUGGCUCUGAGGAGAGAAAUGGAGGAAGAAAGAAAGAAAGAAAGAUAGAAAGAAAGAAAGAAAGAAAGAAUACUUUUUCAAAAAUGACCAAACCAACAAACAAACAAAGCAAAAUCCCAAUAUCAAUGCCUUGAUAAUACCCCUGAACAUGCCCUGAAAGUGAAACAUAAUAGAGAAAAAAAAUUACCAAUACAGUUGGCACUCGUACAGUUUUGGAAGGACCUUUCAAGGGGCUGAUUUAAUGUGAGAGCAUCAAUCCUUUAGCAGCACAGGGCCUUGACAGCAAGUGAAAGUAAUCUCUUCUUUAUUAAUGGGACUUUUCACUUUGGACCCGCGGCCUUUGGUAUUCCAUAAUAGUAGUUUCAUACUACAGACCUGAGGAAAGAACAAUAUGAAAUCAGAUCAAGUGGAUGUGUUAUGAAUGGCAGCUGUUUUCAUCUGAAGAGGCUCUAAGGACCCACUGUAUCCUACCUGACCAGCACAAUCCCCACUUCCUGCCCUUGUGUGUUUCCCGCCACUUCACUCUUCAUCCCCAGUGUCAUGCGUUCUAGCCUUUCCUAGCGUUCCUAGCACUGUUUCUGCUCAUGUGCUGCGCGUCUGUGGAAAAACCUUGAUUUCUGAUACUUGAACUGUGUAUCUGAGUCACGCAUUUGUGUCUGUUUUCCUGCGGUUUGCCAGUUUUGAUAGAAAUGACAGAGGCGCAGCAAGUGGCAAGCACACUCUGCCAGCGAUAAUGACGGCUGUGAUGAUGCUUGAAGCCGAGUCUUUAGACGAAGGGUGACCUCUCUGCCAUUCAAAACACGUCUGGAUUGCCUCUUGUGCAGCUCGCUGUUCAGUUCUCAUGAGGCCGUGUGUAUUUCAGUCUGAUUUGUCAAAGGAAAUGGCAGGCCCCGAUUUUAUGUUCAUUUUAUGUUGAAGUCAAAAUGAUGAUUGGUGAUUAGCAACGGGCUCACUAACUCCACAAUCACAUGCCGGUCGGCUCUGCUUUCCUCUAAUUUGAGGAAGAAGUCAGUAAUGUGUCUCGUGCUUAGAGAUCUCUACUUCCUAAAUUUACAUAAUCAUAAAGCUGGAGCUUUAAGUGUAUGUUGGUAUGCUCAAUGAGAGCCAGUAACAGUAAAUCACCUUUUGUUCUUUAA